rnacentral:rRNA from 1 species
AUUGAACGCUGGCGGCAGGCCUAACACAUGCAAGUCGAGCGAGCGGCGGACGGGUGAGUAAUGUAUGGGGACUGCCCGAUAGAGGGGGAUAACUACUGGAAACGGUGGCUAAUACCGCAUACUAUCGGAUAACCCAUAUGGGAUUAGCUAGUAGGGGGGGUAAAGGCUCACCUAGGCGACGAUCUCUAGCUGGUCUGAGAGGAUGAGCAGCCAAACUGUGACUGAGAAACGGCCGAGAGGCCUCCGGAGGCAGCAGUGGGGAAUAAUGCACAAUGGGCGCAAUCCUGAUGCAGGCAUGCCGCGUGUAUGAAGAAGGCCUUAGGGUUGUAAAGUACUUUCAGCGGGGAGGCGUUACCCGCAGAAGAAGCACCGGCUAACUCCGUGCCAGCAGCCGCGGUAAUUG